rnacentral:misc_RNA from 1 species
UGUAGUCAUAGAAAGAAUAGAUAGAACUUAGAAUUAGCACAAAGAAUUAAUACAAAGUUAAUACAGUAACCAGAAAAUCAAUACCCGUUAACAACAACCGGAGCGCGUAAAUUCCGUCAGUUUGACAGUUCCGUUGAUAAGAACGAUGCGGAUGGACUUUUGAGAGCGCAGGCGCGCUCUAGGCGCCCCCGUCCCCCCUUUUAUCCUCGUCGCUGUUUGCCUGCCAACUUUCCGGAAUCCAAAUUCUCAGACAGUCCACGUUCGGGCGUCGUUGCAAGCAGUGUGUGCUAACGGUACUCCAACCGCGCUGCAUGUGCGUUCCCCGUUUGCAUCUGUGUGCGUGUGUGAGCGGAGAAGGAAGAAGAGGAAAAUCGCAGGAAAACGGGAAACAGUAACGGGAACGUCUGCCCCAAAAAACAGUUGCAAGAACACACUCGAUUCCGUUGGCGCUGCACCAAUUUUUCGCUUGAAAGACAGUAAUUCGAUUGGAUCAAUUCAGUUUUCCCAUAGCAGCAGCACUUUCAUCGCUACCUCAAGCAGCAGCACUAGCAGCAGGAGCAGCCGCGAAGGGGGCGGGGAUUUCACAGCAACAUGUUUGUGGCUUAAAUCGGCGCAGAGCAGCAAUAGCUAUCACAGAAAAACCAGAACUUGAGGAUCUAGUUAGUUGGCCAUCGCUUUUGGGCCAUAAAAUGCAUUUACACUUCGAGCGAAACAUCAACACAAAAUGCGACUGCACGAUACUCUCAUUAUCAUGGAUGGGAAAGGUGCCAGAUGAUAUACCCGAGGACGAGGGAUGGAAGCUGAACCGCACCAACUACUACCAGGAGGGAUGGCUGGCCACGGGCAAUGUGCGCGGCAUUGUGGGCGUGACCUUUACCACCUCACAUUGCCGCAAGAACAUGGACUAUCCGCUGAGGACCAACUACAACCUACGCGGGCAUAGAUCGGAUGUUAUCCUGGUUAAGUGGAAUGAACCGUACCAGAAGCUGGCCUCCUGCGAUAGCUCGGGCAUCAUCUUUGUGUGGAUCAAGUAUGAGGGUCGCUGGUCCAUCGAGCUGAUCAACGAUCGGAACACACCGGUAACCCAUUUCUCCUGGUCACACGAUGGCCGCAUGGCGCUUAUCUGCUACCAGGACGGUUUCGUUCUGGUGGGCUCCGUGGCUGGGCAGCGUUAUUGGUCCUCCAUGCUCAACCUGGAGUCCACCAUUACGUGCGGCAUUUGGACGCCCGACGACCAGCAGGUGUACUUCGGCACCACCCAGGGUCAGGUUAUCGUGAUGGACGUGCACGGAGCGAUGGUGUCGCAGGUUCAGCUGUCCAACGAUGUGCCCAUCACCUCGAUGGCCUGGUCCUGCGAGAAGUUCAAGAUGGAGGAGGGCGAGGAGGCGGAGCCCGGUGUAACCAAUGCGGCCAAGCGCUCCUUUGUCCUGGCAGUAAGCUUCCAGAAUGGAUAUAUCUACUUGCUAAAGUCGUUUGACGACGUCUCACCCGCACAUAUCAACACAUGCCUUAACGGCGCCCUUGGCAUGGUCAUGGAGUGGAGCAACUCCCGCGAGCUGCUCGCCGUAGCGGGAACACUGCGAACGGGAGUGGAUGGAGCAAAGACAGAGGACAUGGGCACGCCCAGUAGCUACACGAAUUUGGUCAAGUUCUACACGGAGACGGGCACCUGUCUGUAUCAGGCUCACAUUCCAUGCAGCACCGCUACCGUUUCGGCCAUCACCUGGGGCCACAACGACAAGCGACUGUUCAUCGCCACGGGGACACAGGUGCACAUUGCCUGGGUCUCCAGACGAGUGGCCUCCUUGCAGCUGCUGUGCCGCCUGGAGAUCCAGGCGAGCGUCGGAUCCGAGUCGCUGCUGCCCCUGCUGCCGUUGCCUUCUAGGAUUAAGUCUCUCAUUGGCAAUCUGUUUGCUCAAACGAUAAGAUGCUGUGUACCUGACCUCAAGUCGCUGCGUGAUUUUGUUUCGCGACCACCGCUCUGCUCCACCCGGCUGCACUGCACCAUGAUCCGGCACGAUGACGACUCCAAUCUGAGCUCUGGUACUUGCUAUACGCUGUAUCUGGAGUAUCUGGGCGGAUUGGUGCCGCUGCUCAAGGGCAAGCGCACUUCCAAGAUUCGUCCCGAGUUUGUCAUCUUUGAUCCUCAAGUUAAUGAUUCCCCUUUGUACUUUCAAUACUCCGCCGAGGCCAAGAGCUCCUCGGGCUCCAGCCAGUCCACCACCACGGGGAACAGUGGGCGCACCGACUCAUCGGACAGUGACUUCGAGGAGAGAUCUCGCUUCGGCUCCCCACGGACUCCGCGCAAGAAGCGAGUGCGUCCAAAGAGACGCAACCAAGCGGGCGAUCGGCUGAGCGCUUCGGGUGGCGGCGUCACCAACGAUCCUGAUAGCCUGGAUGAACUGGCCUAUGUGGACACACUGCCGGAGCAGGAAGUCAAGCUGGUCGAGGUGACCUCCAACAUUUGGGGAACCAAGUUCAAGAUCCAUGGACUUGCCAAAACCGUCCCAGCCAAUUUAGGCCAAGUAACUUAUAAGACGUCCCUACUGCAUUUGCAGCCGCGUCAAAUGACGCUGGUCAUCACCGAGCUGCGCGACGAUUUUCCACCUGGUCCCGAUCCCAGCUUCAAUCCAAACAUAUUCUCUGAGGACGAGGACGAGCAUCACCAGCUCCAGGGUAUACAUCACGAUGCAGUGCCGCAGGUUAAUGUGAUCACCACUCAGGAUGGGGCUUCCUUAAAGCCGCCGAUAAUACCGCAACGUCGCCUCACCGAUGGUGCAUCUGCACCAUUGAUAGCGCCCAUGUCACCACGUCCAAAUCGAAUUCUGGCGCGACACAAGAACUCUUUGACUGUGAACGGAGAACGAGGAGCUGGCUCGUCGGCGGGCUUAAGUCCUUUGGCUCGGGCGGAGAGCUACGAUGAUGAUUCAUCCAAUGAAUCCCAGGAGGCAGGAGCUGCAGCCAGUCAGUCAACCACUGUACUUCUACAUCAGGCUCCGUCAAAUGGUUCGGGUCCUGGACCCAGCUGCAGUAAGACCAUAACGCGUCCCAAAACGAUCAGCAGCUUCAAAAACAGCUACAGCCGCUCCAGCUCCAAUUCCAGCUGCCAGUCGCGUCACGCCAUUUCGCCGCUCUACUGCGAUGGAGCAGUGCCCACGCUGCAGAGUCCGAAGAAUGCAGUGGCUCCCUCGGACAUCAUCUUCGAGCGUCCAGCAGUGCCAGCCGCUGGACAGACCACCCUGAUGUCGUACUCGAGCAAUGCGGACUAUGCAAAUAAUGUGGUUCAGGUGAAGAAUGCCCUAAUGUCGGAGCCAGUGCGUUCGGCCAAUAGUCAUGUGAAUCCCGUGCCGCUGAACCUUAAUUUAAAUCUGGAGCGAAUGGAUGCACGAGUUAAGUGUGCGGCGCCAACCACAUCCUCAACGGCUAAGCGGCGGGAGAUGUUGUAUAUCGAUGAGGAGACGCAAUCGCCAACGCCUACGCCAAGUAGCAGCAGCAUGAAACGAACGCCAACGGUGGUUUCAAUAGCUCCUGCCCUGCCCGAUUCUAUAACGCGCAGUUGCAGUGUGGGAUAUCUGGAUUCGGUGGCCAUCACGCCAUCCGACGAAGCGUUGUCCGCUCUGCGUAAGGAUGCGCCAAACAAGCGGCUGAUACUGGUGGACAAGAGAAGGAAUCGCCGGAAAAGGCAACAGCAGGAGGAUGCCCGGCGGCACAAGCUGCAGCAAACUGGCAAGUCCAAGAGCCUGGACUCCUGUGACCUGUUGUCCCUACAGACAAAGCUGUCCAGCAAGGAGCACGAGCAGGUGGUGCGCAAACUGCAGGAGAUCUCCGACAGCAGCGCCUGCAGCAGUGCGGCCAACACAUUGUGCUUCAAGUGCCGCAACAACAUGAGUCCCAGCAGUGCCUGCAAACGGUGUCAGCCCUCGGCGAUCUCCGUCCUGGAUGAGAUUACAUCCGCUGUGCCCGCUGUGGAGCCGACCAAGGAGUCUCCUGUGGUGCAGGCCAAGCCAGCGCCCAAGAAACGCUUCGAUGUUAUAACUAGCUUCACGGACUCGCCCCUUUUUACAAGGAAACAUCGUUUUGGAAUCGGCCGCAGUAAGGAAACGUCGGGCACGGAGAACUCGACUCCACUGCUGGGAAGGAAGCAGGACAAUGGCUUCAGCUUUGUGAAGCAGCUGUCCGAGGUGCGUUGGAGGCGCAAGGAACAGCCAGCCCAGGCGCAACUUAAUGGUUCUAGUAAUGCCAGUACUUUGGAGCGGCAACCGCAGCCGGAGAUCACGGGAGCAGCUUGUGGAACUGUGGAAGCCACACCGGUGGAGGCCAAGGCUUCCGUUUCUCUGCAUACUCAGGCCCUCACUACUUUGGAGAACAUAAUAAGCCGUCUUCGUGAUCUAGACGAGGGUCGUCUGACGCCUCCUUCAACCCCACAACGACUGCCUCGAAGUUCUCCAGCGUCUCCGGCAGCCAGCAAAAAGAACAAACGGCAGCAGAGCAACUCUCCCAUUCGCCACAUAUUAAAUUCGCCGCUUUUAAACCGGCGUCAGCGCAAAAAACAAAGUAUUAUCGAGAGCUCCGAUGAUGAGGGCAACCAGACCAAUGGAUCCGGUGAGGAGAGCAACAACACUGGCAAUGGCAAGCAGUAUCGCGACCUGGAAACCUUUCAAAAGGCCCAACUGCGCCAGAAGCUGAAGCGCGGCAAGAUAGAGCCCAAUGGCAGUGCCAGUUGUGCCAAUCCGGCGCCAGUGCGUCGUGAAUUUGUGAUGCACAAUAAGGCGCCCAUGUGGAAUGAGAUGAGCCAGGUGUACCAGCUGGACUUUGGCGGUCGCGUUACCCAGGAGUCUGCCAAGAACUUCCAAAUCGAGUUUCGUGGCAAGCAGGUCAUGCAAUUCGGUCGCAUUGAUGGAAAUGCCUAUACCCUGGAUUUCCAGUAUCCUUUCUCCGCCCUCCAGGCCUUUGCCGUGGCUCUGGCCAAUGUGACACAGCGACUUAAGUAAUCGGGGAUUGAGGGAUCAGAAACCCCAUCGUAUCGCAUCGCACCGCAUCUUUAAAAUGUCGCCAGCUGACAAUGCAGCAAUUGCUUUUUUGGCCUACGCUAUAUAUAUUUUUAUACCAGAAACGGUGGACGAUGGACGGAUGGUUUCCGAACACCGUACUUUAGUGAUUAUGUAUGUGAACACGUACCACCACUUGAUUGAAGGUUUUGCCAUGUGCAGCGCAUUGAAACACGAGUGCGCACAUGGGUGUGCAAACUCACAGUCCGAUCCAUUUUUGUGCAAUAUUUGUAUGACAAAUUUUUUGGAUUAAGUGUAGCCGAGUGUAAAUGUUAGCCGUAGUACGACGAUGUACAAUGUACGAUGUAUUUUAAAUCAAACUACUAUAACACGAUUAACGAUCAGUCGGUUUUUAACACUAGUUUGUACAAGAGCAGCCUUUUUUGCAUAGAGCUUCGUUUCUCGCUUUACUCGAUUUAAGUGCAAUAACUCCUUUUGUUAACUCCUAGAACUAAGACAUAUUGGCGAGACCAGCAAACCGCUUGGCCCAGCACUUGAUAAAAAAAAUUCAUUGUAAGUAAGAGGACAAGUCCGAUUACUUGACGCUAGCAUAUUUUUUAUAAGUGUAAACUAAUUGUGAAUGUUGAAUCGAUCGACAGCAAGGAAUACAGAACUUUGUGCUUUUCCUCUCAACUCUUUUUUGUAGU